rnacentral:rRNA from 1 species
GAUGAACGCUGGCGGCGUGCCUAAUACAUGCAAGUCGAGCGAAUGGAUUAAGAGCUUGCUCUUAUGAAGUUAGCGGCGGACGGGUGAGUAACACGUGGGUAACCUGCCCAUAAGACUGGGAUAACUCCGGGAAACCGGGGCUAAUACCGGAUAACAUUUUGAACCGCAUGGUUCGAAAUUGAAAGGCGGCUUCGGCUGUCACUUAUGGAUGGACCCGCGUCGCAUUAGCUAGUUGGUGAGGCAACCGCUCACCAAGGCAACGAUGCGUAGCCGACCUGAGAGGGUGAUCGGCCACACUGGGACUGAGACACGGCCCAGACUCCUACGGGAGGCAGCAGUAGGGAAUCUUCCGCAAUGGACGAAAGUCUGACGGAGCAACGCCGCGUGAGUGAUGAAGGCUCUCGGGUCGUAAAACUCUGUUGUUAGGGAAGAACAAGUGCUAGUUGAAUAAGCUGGCACCUUGACGGUACCUAACCAGAAAGCCACGGCUAACUACGUGCCAGCCGCCGCGGUAA